rnacentral:rRNA from 1 species
CCUGCUAAAUAGCCCAGUGAGUGAAUUCUCACUGACUGCUGGCUUCUUAGAGGGACGUGCAUUCUAUCAGAUGCAGGAAGAUAGUGGCAAUAACAGGUCUGUGAUGCCCUUAGAUGUCCUGGGCCGCACGCGCGCUACACUGAUGCAUUCAACGAGUUCACCUUGGCCGAGAGGCCUGGGCAACCUUUUAAACGUGCAUCGUGAUAGGGAUAGAUUAUUGCAAUUAUUAAUCUUGAACGAGGAAUUCCUAGUAAACGCAAAUCAUCAAUUUGCAUUGAUUACGUCCCUGCCCUUUGUACACACCGCCCGUCGCACCUACCGAUUGAAUGGUCCGGUGAAGCCUCGGGAA